CCUACGGGGUGCAGCAGUGAGGCAUAUUGGUCACUGGACGAGCGUCUGAACCAGCCAAGUAGCGUGAAGGAUGAAGGCUUUCGGGUUGUUAACUUCUUUUGACAGGGAAGAGUAGAAGACGGUAACUGUCGAAUAAGACACGGCUAACUACGUGCCAUCAGCCGCGGUAAUACGUAGGUGGCAAGCGUUGUGCGGAUUUACUGGGUGUAAAGGGAGUGUAGCCGGGUUGACAAGUCAGAUGUGAAAUCCUGCGGCUUAACCGUAGAACUGCAAUUGAAACUGGUGAUCGUGAGUACUGUAGAGGCAGACGGAAUUCCUAGUGUAGCGGUGAAAUGCUUAGAUAUCAGGAGGAACACCAGUGGCGAAGGCGGUCUGCUAGACAGUAACUGACGGUGAGGCGCGAAAGCGUGGGGAGCAAACAGGAUUAGAUACCCGAGUAGUC
rnacentral:rRNA from 1 species